rnacentral:rRNA from 2 species
AUGCAGUCGAACAGCGUCUUGGUCAAUGAAGUUAGAGUGCUUACAUUUAACUGAUUUGACAUUAAGACGAGUGGCGAACUGGUGAGUAACACGUGGGUAACUUGCCCCGAAGCGGGGGAUAACAUUUGGAAACAGGUGCUAAUACCGCAUAACAACAAAAACCACAUGGUUUUUGUUUAAAAGAUGGUUUCGGCUAUCACUUUGGGAUGGACCCGCGGCGUAUUAGCUAGUUGGUGAGGUAAUGGCUCACCAAGGCAAUGAUACGUAGCCGACCUGAGAGGGUAAUCGGCCACAUUGGGACUGAGACACGGCCCAAACUCCUACGGGAGGCAGCAGUAGGGAAUCUUCCACAAUGGACGAAAGUCUGAUGGAGCGACGCCGCGUGAGUGAUGAAGGGUUUCGGCUCGUAAAACUCUGUUGUUGGAGAAGAACGGGUGUCAGAGUAACUGUUGACAUCGUGACGGUAUCCAACCAGAAAGCCACGGCUAACUACGUGCCAGCAGCCGCGGUAAUACGUAGGUGGCAAGCGUUGUCCGGAUUUAUUGGGCGUAAAGCGAGCGCAGGCGGUUUUUUAGGUCUGAUGUGAAAGCCUUCGGCUUAACCGGAGAAGUGCAUCGGAAACCGGGAGACUUGAGUGCAGAAGAGGACAGUGGAACUCCAUGUGUAGCGGUGAAAUGCGUAGAUAUAUGGAAGAACACCAGUGGCGAAGGCGGCUGUCUGGUCUGCAACUGACGCUGAGGCUCGAAAGCAUGGGUAGCGAACAGGAUUAGAUACCCUGGUAGUCCAUGCCGUAAACGAUGAGUGCUAAGUGUUGGAGGGGUUCCGCCCUUCAGUGCUGCAGCUAACGCAUUAAGCACUCCGCCUGGGGAGUACGACCGCAAGGUUGAAACUCAAAGGAAUUGACGGGGGCCCGCACAAGCGGUGGAGCAUGUGGUUUAAUUCGAUGCUACGCGAAGAACCUUACCAGGUCUUGACAUCUUCUGCUAACCUAAGAAAAUUAAGCGUUCCCUUCCGGGGACGGAAUGACAAGGGGGUGCAAGGGUUGCCCUCACCUCCCGGCCCCGAAAAAGUUUGGGUUAAAUCCCCCCAACCAACGCCACCCCUUUUUUGUCAUUUGCCACCAA